rnacentral:rRNA from 1 species
UACAGAGGGUGCAAGCGUUGUUCGGAAUUACUGGGCGUAAAGCGCGUGUAGGCGGUCCGAUAAGUCAGAAGUGAAAGCCCUCGGCUCAACCGAGGAACCGCGUCUGAUACUGCCGGACUUGAGUGUCGGAGGGGAUGGUGGAAUUCCUGGUGUAGAGGUGAAAUUCGUAGAUAUCAGGAGGAACACCUGUGGCGAAGGCGGCCAUCUGGAAGACAACUGACGCUGAGACGCGAAAGCGUGGGUAGCAAACAGG